AGAGAGAGACAUGCGCGCAUAUCAAUAAGCGGAGGAAAAGAAACUAACAAGGAUUCCCUUAGUAACGGCGAGUGAAGCGGGAAGAGCUCAAAUUUGAAAUCUUCAAGGUUCUACCUUGACGAAUUGUAGUUUAUAGAAGUGUUUUCUGUUAGUGGAGUGGCAAAAGUUCUUUGGAAUAGGACAUCAUAGAGGGUGAGAAUCCCGUAUUUGGUCACUCCUCCUAGCGUUGUGAUACACUUUCAACGAGUCGGAUUGUUUGGGAAUGCAGUCCAAAAUGGGUGGUAAAUUUCAUCUAAAGCUAAAUAUUGGCGAGAGACCGAUAGCGAACAAGUACCGUGAGGGAAAGAUGAAAAGAACUUUGAAAAGAGAGUUAAACAGUACGUGAAAUUGUCAAAAGGGAAGCGUUUGACACCAGUGUUGUUUUUCCGAAAAUCAAUUACGAAUGUUUUAUUUUUGAGGAGUUAUGACUUCAUCGGCUUGCUCCUUUCUUUAUGAAACUUUCUUAAUGCACUUUUCGGUUAACAAGUCAACAUCAAUUUCUUUUGUUGUAAAAGGGUAUGAGGAAGGUGGCUUUCUUUUCGGAGAAAGUGUUUAUAGCCUUGUGCCUCUGCAAUCGGAGAGAUUGAUGGUCUGCAGCGUAGAUCCUUCGGGGUUAGAUACAGUUUGUGCUAAGUUAUAGCUUUUCAUAGACAACUUGUUGACUAUGUUUAGUCUUGUAGCUUACUCGCUGAUGCUAUUUUACCUACGCUUAGGAUGUUGAUAGUCACAGCGUGUA
rnacentral:rRNA from 1 species